rnacentral:rRNA from 1 species
CUUUACUAUAGCCUGGAAUUGUGUUCGGGCUUCGCUUACGCAGGAUAGGUGGGAGGCUAUGAAGUUCUGCUUGUGGGCAGAAUCGAGCCAACGGUGAGAUACCACUUUAGCGAGGCUAGAAUUCUAACCCUUGCCCAUGAUCUGGGAAGGAGACAGUUUCAGGUGGGCAGUUUGACUGGGGCGGUCGCCUCCUAAAUGGUAACGGAGGCGCGCAAAGGUUCUCUCAGGCUGGUUGGAAAUCAGCCGUAGAGUGUAAAGGCAGAAGGGAGCUUGACUGCAAGACCUACAAGUCGAGCAGGGUGGAAACACGGUCUUAGUGAUCCGACGGUGCCGCAUGGAAGGGCCGUCGCUCAACGGAUAAAAGUUA